rnacentral:rRNA from 1 species
GUCUUUUUGAAAAUAAUUUAAAGUCUAAUCUGCCCACUGAUAAUUUAAAGGGCCGCGGUAUUUUGACCGUGCAAAGGUAGCAUAAUAAUUAGUCUUUUAAUUGAGGGCUAGAAUGAAUGAUUGAACGAGGUGUUGACUGUCUCAAUUUAAAUGAAAUUAUAAUUUAACAUUUUAGUUAAAAGGCUCAAAUAUAAUUAAAGGACGAGAAGACCCUAUAGAGCUUUAUAUAUUUAUAAAUAAUUUAUUUAUAAAAAUAUUAAAAUUUUAUUUAUACAUAUAUUUUGUUGGGGUGACAGGAAGAUUUAUUAAACUCUUUUUAUUUUAAAACAAAAAUUAUUGAACUAUUGAUCCAUUUUUAUUGAUUAUAAGAUUAAGUUACCUUAGGGAUAACAGCGUAAUUUUUUUUAAGAGUUCAUAUCGACAAAAAAGAUUGCGACCUCGAUGUUGGAUUAAGAGUUAUUUUUGGGUGUAGAAGUUCAAAGUUUAGGUCUGUUCGACCUUUAAAUUCUUACAUGAUCUGAGUUCAAACC